CAUGUGGUUUAAUUCGAUACUACGCGCAAAACCUUACCAGCCCUUGACAUAUGAACAACAAAACCUGUCCUUAACGGGAUGGUACUGACUUUCAUACAGGUGCUGCAUGGCUGUCGUCAGCUCGUGUCGUGAGAUGUUUGGUCAAGUCCUAUAACGAGCGAAACCCUCGUUUUGUGUUGCUGAGACAUGCGCCUAAGGAGAAAUUGCCACCGAAGUGAGCCGAGGAGCCGAGUGACGUGCCAGCGCUACUACUUGAUUGAGUGCCAGCACGUAGCUGUGCUUUCAGCAAGAAUUUCACCAUUGGGAGCCGGUGCCUUUCGAAGCACUUUCACGUGUGAACCGAAGUCGUCUUGCCGAACUCAAGACCCACGGAGACCUACCUAUAGUGACGUCAAAGUACCAGUGAGCAUGGAGGUUUGGUUAGGCUUGGUUACGACGACGUCGAGUUGGCGGCGGAGGAAGACUCGGCAUGAAGGCCAGCCGCCCGGUGGUGUGGUACGUAGUGGUAAUAGUACGCGCCCCGCUCCGAAACAAAGAAAAAGGUGCGUGCCGCACUCACGAGGGACUGCCAGUGAGAUACUGGAGGAAGGUGGGGAUGACGUCAAGUCCGCAUGGCCCUUAUGGGCUGGGCCACACACGUGCUACAAUGGCAAUGACAAUGGGAAGCAAGGCUGUAAGGCGGAGCGAAUCCGGAAAGAUUGCCUCAGUUCGGAUUGUUCUCUGCAACUCGGGAACAUGAAGUUGAAAUCGCUAGUAAUCGCGGAUCAGCAUGCCGCGGUGAAUAUGUACCCGGGCCCUGUACACACCGCCCGUCACACCCUGGGAAUUGGUUUCGCCCGAAGCAUCGGACCAAUGAUCACCCAUGACUUCUGUGUACCACUAGUGCCACAAAGGCCUUUGGUGGUCUUAUUGGCGAUACCACGGUGGGGUCUUCGACUGGGGUGAAGUCGUAACAAGGUAGCCGCAGG
rnacentral:rRNA from 1 species